rnacentral:rRNA from 1 species
UGAGGGAAAGGCGAAAAGAACCCCGGCGAGGGGAGUGAAAAAGAACCUGAAACCGUGUACGUACAAGCAGUGGGAGCACGCUUAGGCGUGUGACUGCGUACCUUUUGUAUAAUGGGUCAGCGACUUAUAUUCUGUAGCAAGGUUAACCGAAUAGGGGAGCCGAAGGGAAACCGAGUCUUAACUGGGCGUUAAGUUGCAGGGUAUAGACCCGAAACCCGGUGAUCUAGCCAUGGGCAGGUUGAAGGUUGGGUAACACUAACUGGAGGACCGAACCGACUAAUGUUGAAAAAUUAGCGGAUGACUUGUGGCUGGGGGUGAAAGGCCAAUCAAACCGGGAGAUAGCUGGUUCUCCCCGAAAGCUAUUUAGGUAGCGCCUCGUGAAUUCAUCUCCGGGGGUAGAGCACUGUUUCGGCAAGGGGGUCAUCCCGACUUACCAACCCGAUGCAAACUGCGAAUACCGGAGAAUGUUAUCACGGGAGACACACGGCGGGUGCUAACGUCCGUCGUGAAGAGGGAAACAACCCAGACCGCCAGCUAAGGUCCCAAAGUCAUGGUUAAGUGGGAAACGAUGUGGGAAGGCCCAGACAGCCAGGAUGUUGGCUUAGAAGCAGCCAUCAUUUAAAGAAAGCGUAAUAGCUCACUGGUCGAGUCGGCCUGCGCGGAAGAUGUAACGGGGCUAAACCAUGCACCGAAGCUGCGGCAGCGACGCUGAUGCGUUGUUGGGUAGGGGAGCGUUCUGUAAGCCUGCGAAGGUGUGCUGUGAGGCAUGCUGGAGGUAUCAGAAGUGCGAAUGCUGACAUAAGUAACGAUAAAGCGGGUGAAAAGCCCGCUCGCCGGAAGACCAAGGGUUCCUGUCCAACGUUAAUCGGGGCAGGGUGAGUCGACCCCUAAGGCGAGGCCGAAAGGCGUAGUCGAUGGGAAACAGGUUAAUAUUCCUGUACUUGGUGUUACUGCGAAGGGGGGACGGAGAAGGCUAUGUUGGCCGGGCGACGGUUGUCCCGGUUUAAGCGUGUAGGCUGGUUUUCCAGGCAAAUCCGGAAAAUCAAGGCUGAGGCGUGAUGACGAGGCACUACGGUGCUGAAGCAACAAAUGCCCUGCUUCCAGGAAAAGCCUCUAAGCAUCAGGUAACAUCAAAUCGUACCCCAAACCGACACAGGUGGUCAGGUAGAGAAUACCAAGGCGCUUGAGAGAACUCGGGUGAAGGAACUAGGCAAAAUGGUGCCGUAACUUCGGGAGAAGGCACGCUGAUAUGUAGGUGAAGUCCCUUGCGGAUGGAGCUGAAAUCAGUCGAAGAUACCAGCUGGCUGCAACUGUUUAUUAAAAACACAGCACUGUGCAAACACGAAAGUGGACGUAUACGGUGUGACGCCUGCCCGGUGCCGGAAGGUUAAUUGAUGGGGUCAGCGCAAGCGAAGCUCUUGAUCGAAGCCCCGGUAAACGGCGGCCGUAACUAUAACGGUCCUAAGGUAGCGAAAUUCCUUGUCGGGUAAGUUCCGACCUGCACGAAUGGCGUAAUGAUGGCCAGGCUGUCUCCACCCGAGACUCAGUGAAAUUGAACUCGCUGUGAAGAUGCAGUGUACCCGCGGCAAGACGGAAAGACCCCGUGAACCUUUACUAUAGCUUGACACUGAACAUUGAGCCUUGAUG